rnacentral:rRNA from 1 species
GAUGAACGCUGGCGGCGUGCCUAAUACAUGCAAGUCGAGCGAACAGAUGAGGAGCUUGCUCCUCUGACGUUAGCGGCGGACGGGUGAGUAACACGUGGAUAACCUACCUAUAAGACUGGGAUAACUUCGGGAAACCGGAGCUAAUACCGGAUAAUAUAUUGAACCGCAUGGUUCAAUAGUGAAAGACGGUUUUGCUGUCACUUAUAGAUGGAUCCGCGCCGCAUUAGCUAGUUGGUAAGGUAACGGCUUACCAAGGCAACGAUGCGUAGCCGACCUGAGAGGGUGAUCGGCCACACUGGAACUGAGACACGGUCCAGACUCCUACGGGAGGCAGCAGUAGGGAAUCUUCCGCAAUGGGCGAAAGCCUGACGGAGCAACGCCGCGUGAGUGAUGAAGGUCUUCGGAUCGUAAAACUCUGUUAUUAGGGGAGAACAAAUGUGUAAGUAACUAUGCACGUCUUGACGGUACCUAAUCAGAAAGCCACGGCUAACUACGUG